rnacentral:rRNA from 1 species
CACGUAGGGCGCAAGCGUUGUCCGGAAUUAUUGGGCGUAAAGAGCUCGUAGGCGGACUGUCACGUCUGCUGUGAAAAGCUAGGGCUUAACCCUGGCCUUGCAGUGGAUACGGGCAGACUAGAGGUAGGUAGGGGAGAAUGGAAUUCCCGGUGUAGCGGUGAAAUGCGCAGAUAUCGGGAGGAACACCGGUGGCGAAGGCGGUUCUCUGGGCCUUACCUGACGCUGAGGAGCGAAAGCGUGGGGAGCGA